rnacentral:rRNA from 1 species
UACGUAGGGGGCAAGCGUUGUCCGGAUUUAUUGGGCGUAAAGAGCGUGUAGGCGGUCAGGUAGGUCCGUUGUGAAAACUCGAGGCUCAACCUCGAGACGCCGAUGGAAACCAUCUGACUAGAGUCCGGAAGAGGAGAGUGGAAUUCCUGGUGUAGCGGUGAAAUGCGCAGAUAUCAGGAAGAACACCCGUGGCGAAGGCGGCUCUCUGGGACGGUACUGACGCUGAGACGCGAAAGCGUGGGGAGCGAACAGG